GGAUUAGAUACCCUGGUAGUCCACGCCCUAAACGAUGAGUGCUAGGUGUCGGGUGUCAAAGCCCGGUGCCGCCGUUAACACAUUAAGCACUCCGCCUGGGGAGUACGCACGCAAGUGUGAAACUCAAAGGAAUUGACGGGGACCCGCACAAGUAGCGGAGCAUGUGGUUUAAUUCGAAGCAACGCGAAGAACCUUACCAGGGCUUGACAUAACAGUGACGGGUUAAGAGAUUAACCGUUCCCUUCGGGGACACUGCUACAGGUGGUGCAUGGUUGUCGUCAGCUCGUGCCG
rnacentral:rRNA from 1 species